UACAAAAUAAAAAAAAAUCGUUGAAUAAAUUUUGUGUAAAACUAAAAAACAGCAAAAACAGACUCAAUAAAAUUCACCAAUUACAUUAUGUGUGAUUGUAAUAAAAUUAAAAAAUUAGAAAACGUUACACAGAAUCCACUUCAGACACGAAAUUGAAGAGGUUAUCUGAUACGUAACCUGUAAAAAAAUGCGUAACACAGGAUGCGUCAAAUUAUCAUUCAAAUGUCAACGUUAAUUGACAAGGGUCUUCAAAGGUAGAAGAAAUUUAACGACGAGGAUUUCAAGGUUCAUUUGUGCCAUGCCGAUAAGAGUAGGUACGGCGCACGAUCAUUCACUAGCCAGUUAUCGAUGAAUACCUCAUCGGACUCAUUCACGAGGCAUACGUUUACGACGGGAAAACAAAGUUACGAAUUUGCACUUCAUUAACGUUGCCGAUGUACAAUCAUAGUCACGGAAACAUGGCACGAAUAUGUGGUUUUCAUUCAGAAAAACUCGACGAAAUGUUUCUCGAGCAAGAUAAAUCGUUUAUAUAUUAAACGAUAAGAACGGAAUGAGACGAAAUUGUUUUUCAAAAAGAUUAAUAAUGCGCAUGUGUGCUUGGAUAACCUAGUCAAGCAUCAUUAAAUUAUCUUUAUUAAUUUGGCUAUAUAA